rnacentral:rRNA from 1 species
AGGAUCCAUUCAUCCAAAUGCAAUUGCAUAGAGAGAACCUUUGGAGUUUGGAAGAUGAAAUGGCAAAUACUUUUGAAGAUGCCAAGCUACUCAACUGAAACCCAAAAGAUGAUAGUUGCUGCUACUAUGGCAUUGCACAACUAUGUUCGCUUCCAUGACAAAUCAGAUCUCCACUUUGUUCGAUGUGAUAGGGAUCCGGAUUAUGUGCCAACAAUUCCUGAACGGUAUAGGAAAUUUGCUGUUCCGACAAAUGCUUCAGAUACAUCUACUUCGGAGGGAAAUGGUGUUGACAUGGAUCUGUUUAGGAACCAACUUGCUACUGACAUUGCUCUAGGUUGGUGA